CAGCAAUGCAUCAACUUUUGAUCAAGGUCCUUUAUGCAGUCUAAGGGUGGCAAAGGCAGGCAGAUCAAUUGAUGUCAGGAGUUCGAGACCAGUCUGGCCAACAUGGUGAAACCCUGUCUCUACUAAAAAUACACAAAUUAGCCGGGCAUGAUGGCUUGUUCCUGUAAUCCCAGCUACUCACUAGGCUAAGGCAGAAGAAUCGCUUGAACCCAGGAGGUGAGCCAAGAUUGCGCCACUGCACUCCAGCCUGGGCAACAAAGCAAGACUCCAUCCCAAAAAAGAAAAAGAAAAAAGAAAAGCCUGGUCUGCUCACUACUCUAUAACCUGCAUAGUAAGAAGCUCAACUGGUGGUUGCCAGGGAUUCCUUUCUGGAACUACCUUCUCUUUACAUUUUCCUGGAAACAUGACCUACAUGACCUUGGUGAUAUCAUUGCUGCUUCCCAUGUAGUAAGUCUAAUUUCCUAGACACUCCCAAUGAAGGAUCAAUAGAAGGAGUUUAUGUUCUGUUGUUUGUGGGAUGAAGCAAUCUCACCUAAUCACCCUAAGCUCUUGGUUGGUGUAGCGAGCUCCAUGGAGAAUUUACCAUUUCAGGGAGUUCUGUUAGGUGAGCCUUUACCCAUGUUUCAUCCUUGUGUGUCUUGAGUGACCACUGUUCCAGAGCUUACUGACAUUUCACCAUGCACUUGAGGUGAGAGCAUUAUCCUCAGCCUCACUGUCAACCUACCUCUCCUUCUUGCUAAAGCUGGGAGCACACCCAAGACUCCCUAGGGCCCAGCUCACCCUUUUCUUUGGGAUAUAGCCCUCUCGAAAACUUCAAAUUUUGAGACAGGGGCAGUGGUAAAACAGAGAAACUUUAAGGGGAAUAAAGCCAUCUGUGCCUAGCUGAUCAACAGCUCUGCAGUUUCCUUUUUUAUAUAUUGGAAGUAAAUGCUUAAAUAAUUGGUUAUUUUGGCUCGACAUAUUUUAUUGCACCUUUAAAGAAGGAUGUGUGCUUGAGACUGGGUGGGUGUGGCCUGGCUGAUCUGGCAGUAUACAGGUUGUGGGUGGAAGAGCUUAAGAACAUACUUGUUUCUCUUAUUCUGUGAUCCUAUGCCCUAGGGCUGUACUUUUUCCUUCUGAUUAGCUUUCUGGGCGGUGCUGAGUUGAAUGCAAAAUGAAUUUACAUAGUGGGUUGCUCUGACUAGAGUGGUUUAAUACAGAAAUGAGCAGGGACUAUGGAUGUGGGGG
rnacentral:lncRNA from 10 species